GGGCCCAGAGGUUGAAGCGGCCAACGCGGCUACCAUUGAGCUGUCCAGGUGAGCAUCGCCCGGUUGGAGCUCCAGGCAAGCCUCUGGUUUUGCUGCGGCAGCUGCGGGCCCUGAAGUGUUCCUUAGCAGCGCCCAUAUCGUUUGUCGUCAUUGCUUGUGCGUGGACGGUGGGCUGACAGGACCCGGACCAGGACAAGGACAAGGACGGGCAAACGAUGAGCCCCGAGUGACGCCAAGGGACGCUGCGACGACAGGCCUGAGGGCGGGGCCGACUGGGCAACGGAGGAGCUAGGUUGAGAAAAAGACCUGUGGACGGGGUCUACGGUGGGACCAACUGAGUCCGAGCGACAAAGCGGAGGUCAUCCCGUGGGCUAAGUGGUGGAUAUCCAGGACCCAGCAGCAAGAUCAGAGCAACCUCUGAGCUGCUCGUUCUGACUCCAGUAGGUGAGCACACCACCGUCUCCAUCGGGGCCUUUGAUGUUUCAGAUGAUACCGUGGCUGGUGUCAGCCACAUACACCUGUGAGCCCCGUCCCUGCCCAACACCUUGAGGGGCUGCACGUAAUUCGUGUCUAUGAUGGCACCCAUCUGGCAGAGAAUGACCUUGGACUUUGAUCCUUCUACUCCCACCUUCUAAAUUCUGGGAUUACAGACAUUUGCCUCCGAGCCUGGCUUAUUCAGUAUGGGGGAUGGAACACAAGGCUUUGUGCAGGACAGACAGACAUUCUACACUUGGCCUCCAGCCCCAGCCUAACCUAAAGUAAUAUCUUAAAUUAUAUUCACAUU